rnacentral:lncRNA from 1 species
GCCGUUUGACGCCACCGCCUAACUUCCUCUCAAUUCACAUACCAUAUUAGAAAAGAAACAACCCCAACAAACCCUAGUGGCUAAUCAGAUAUCCCUCAUUACCAUCAACACUCAGCAACCAUACCCAAAUUGAAAUCAUACAAAAAUCAGAAUAAACCCACACAACUUCAUUUCGGGUUAUCUGGUUCUAGGGGCUCCGAGCAUUCGCUAUAAGAUCCAAACGAUGGGAGUGCAGCGGAGGUUGAAGAGAGUAACAUGUUCCAAGCUCAGGGUGACCUAACAUUGAACGACGACAAAUCAGAGUUUUUAUCUUUAAUCUUUUGUUCAGGGUUUUGAGUGUUCUGAUCAUUUUAUAAGGAAAUCUAAAUUAUAGGGUGAAGAGAGGAGCAGGAGAGCUUCGUUUCGGUGUUAGAAGGGGGUUGAUCGGAGCUCUGAUGAUGAUGGUGCAUGUUGGCGGUGGCUAGCGUAAAUGGAGGAGAAAAAAGAAAAGGGAAAGGAAGAACAAGAAACAUGUGGCAUUAAACGAUGGCACAUUUAAUUUUUAAAAAUAAAAUAAAUCAGGAAAAAAUUAAGAAAUAAAUAAUUUAAUAUUUAAAAAACAUUUUUUUAAACACAUGGUACAUUAGAUAAUUAACGUGGCAUUUUU